UCUCAAUUUCCUUACAGCAGAUGUAUCCAUUUAGAUGCUUGUCAAUAAGCUACUUUUCCUCCUGACAAUAAUGCUACUGCUGUAGCAGAGCAGAGUCCUUAGUAGCUGCCCUUUUACCACCAGGAAAGGUGUUUCUUUAGAUGAUUGAUCAGGCAACAGACCAACGGCUUGUUUGUCUUUUGCUGUAGGUGUGGACAGGCUAACAUUGUAGUCCUAUAAUUCCAACUCUUUCAGAAGGAAUUGUUUUUUCUGUAGCAGCAGCUGAGGAGGGACAACACAUCCAUCUUUAGAUGUGAGCACGUCAACGCGCCUCACCCAUUGCAGCCAGUCGUUGUAGCUCGUCUUCGUUGUCGGUGCUGUGUGGCCGCCCGAUCUGGAGGACCUGGUUCUGACCGUCGCUGCUGGACUUGCACAGCAGAACCCGCGCAGCGUCGCAGAAACGCCCUUGUCAAUAUGAGACCACACAUAUAAACAAACAGGAUCCCACAACCCAGCUUUCUUUUUUUUAUUUAUUUAUUUAUUUUUAGCAGUCAGACUCAUACUCCUGUUGAUAAAAGCAGAUCAGACAAACUCCAUCCAGAUGUCAAAUCCUCCCGGGAACUCGAUGCGUCCGGGUGAAAGAGAAGGUUUGUGGACUUUCCUGAGAUGAGCGAUGGACUCGUGAAUGUGACCGGGAGUGUGAAGCASAGACAGAAGGUCGGAAGUGAACCUUGAGGUUGGGAAACAAAGACUCAGAAGAGAAAAAAUGUCACUUUUUUCCAUUCACCAGCAAAACCAAAAGUUUCACAAAAAAUCUUCUGCAUUAUUGGAUGCUGCAGAGCGUCGUCCUGGGCUGGGAUACCUGCUGUCACCAUGGCAGCAGCAGCUCGCGUAAGGAGAGCGGCAGAGACAGGAGGCCUUGUCAAAAUAUAAUUCAAGGAGAGCCGCUGCAGUAUCAAGGGGACGCAAUGAGACAAACACACAUAAUGACAAGUCCGGGACCCACCAGCUCACAUGACCUCUCAUCCACUGCAUUGAGUCACUUUUCACACCACGCAUUGUGUCACACUGAAAGCCUUACUUUUAUUUUAACUUCACUUAACGUUAGCGAAAGCAAAACCUCUCUCUAGUCCGGAAAAAAAAAAAUCUGUGUUCCGCACCGCAGUGUUGAUUUAAUAAAUUAUUAUUUUUUUUAUUUAGAAAGUCAAAGUGGUUAAUCCUAGGCGUUCUGUGCAAAGCUGUAAUUGUCUUCUGGUAAAUGUGUUUAAAGCCGAAUAGGAGGGGCAUAUCUGGACAGAUGCCGAGGAACUUGGGUAUCCCUUCUUGUUCAACUUUGAAUCUUGAAAUCUCUUUCAAAUCAAGGCUAGCUUUUCAUACAAACACGAUAUACUGUAUGCCAGUCUUUAAGUGUUGUGUAAUCCAUCAGUCACUUCACUAAUGCACUUACAACUCUUAAGUGCAUUUUUAUCAAUCUACAUUUGAUAAUAAGCACCCUACUCUAUGUUGUGUUUAAUCUUUACUGAGAAAAUGUUACAUGGUAAUUACUCAAGAGAGAUAAAACAGUAUUAUCUGUGGAACAACUCCCUCUUUUUCUCCUUUUAGUUACUUUAUUUUAUCAAUGUAUGUUGCCUUUGGAGUACAAACUUAUCAAAAAUCAGCCUAACAAGCCAGUGGUGCUGGGCAACCUAACGACAGAACAUUAUCAAAUUUAAAUGCGCCAUUUCAGCACUUCUUUACAAAGAUAUCAAAGAUCCUUUGUGAUCAACAACACCAAAAAAUGUGGCCAUGUUUAUGUAAUCUGAAGAACACAGAGAGGUAGAAAAAUAAACAUUAUUUAUUCAGCUAAUGUCUAAAAACAAAAUAAGAAACGCAGUUAAAAUUACAUGUGAAUACAUUUCUUCAAAUCAUUGAAAAACAUGCCAUGCCAUAGUCCUCUGACUACUUCCUGUCAUCUUCUUUUUUUUGUGGUUUGCACCAGUAGCAACAUCCGGUUAUUGAAAAAGUGUUUCCUUUACAGUUUUGCUAAAUAAACCAACUUAUUCAUGCUAGCACCAACA